UGGGGAUUAUUGCACAAUGGGCGCAAGCCUGAUGCAGCCAUGCCGCGUGUAUGAAGAAGGCCUUCGGGUUGUAAAGUACUUUCAGCGGGGAGGAAGGUGUUGAGGUUAAUAACCUCAGCAAUUGACGUUACCCGCAGAAGAAGCACCGGCUAACUCCGUGCCAGCAGCCGCGGUAAUACGGAGGGUGCAAGCGUUAAUCGGAAUUACUGGGCGUAAAGCGCACGCAGGCGGUCUGUCAAGUCGGAUGUGAAAUCCCCGGGCUCAACCUGGGAACUGCAUUCGAAACUGGCAGGCUAGAGUCUUGUAGAGGGGGGUAGAAUUCCAGGUGUAGCGGUGAAAUGCGUAGAGAUCUGGAGGAAUACCGGUGGCGAAGGCGGCCCCCUGGACAAAGACUGACGCUCAGGUGCGAAAGCGUGGGGAGCAAACA
rnacentral:rRNA from 1 species